rnacentral:rRNA from 1 species
UACAGAGGUCUCAAGCGUUGUUCGGAUUCACUGGGUUUAAAGGGUGCGUAGGUGGGCUAGUAAGUCAGUGGUGAAAUCUCCGGGCUUAACCCGGAAACUGCCAUUGAUACUAUUAGUCUUGAGUGUCGUGGAGGUAAGCGGAAUAUGUCAUGUAGCGGUGAAAUGCUUAGAUAUGACAUAGAACACCGAUAGCGUAGGCAGCUUGCUACACGAAUAUUGACACUGAGGCACGAAAGCGUGGGGAUCAAACAGG